rnacentral:rRNA from 1 species
UACGUAGGGGGCUAGCGUUGUCCGGAAUCAUUGGGCGUAAAGCGCGUGUAGGCGGCCCGGUAAGUCCGCUGUGAAAGUCGGGGGCUCAACCCUCGGAAGCCGGUGGAUACUGUCGGGCUGGAGUACGGAAGAGGCGAGUGGAAUUCCUGGUGUAGCGGUGAAAUGCGCAGAUAUCAGGAGGAACACCAAUUGCGAAGGCAGCUCGCUGGGACGUAACUGACGCUGAGACGCGAAAGCGUGGGGAGCAAACAGG